rnacentral:rRNA from 1 species
UACGUAGGGGGCAAGCGUUGUCCGGAUUUAUUGGGCGUAAAGAGCGUGUAGGCGGCCAUACAGGUCAGCUGUGAAAACUCGAGGCUCAACCUCGAGACGUCGGUUGAAACCGUAUGGCUAGAGUCCGGAAGAGGAGAGUGGAAUUCCCGGUGUAGCGGUGAAAUGCGCAGAUAUCGGGAAGAACACCCGUGGCGAAGGCGGCUCUCUGGGACGGUACUGACGCUAAGGCGCGAAAGCGUGGGGAGCGAACAGG